CCUUCCCCUAGAGGUGUUGCAAGUGUGGCUGCUGUGUCAUAUGUAUGUCAGUAGGUGACAGAGAGGAGAAAGCCUAUGUCUACGCUCAGUGUUUUAACCUAUGGACAUCUGAAUGAUUAAUUGUCUAACAGU